UGAACCAUGGCGCAGUGGCUAGCGCUCUUGAUUUUGAAUUUUUCAUCCCGGGUUCGACCCCCACCGGGGUCAA